UACGGAGGGUGCAAGCGUUAAUCGGAAUUACUGGGCGUAAAGCGUGCGCAGGCGGUUUGUUAAGUCUGUUGUGAAAUCCCCGAGCUCAACUUGGGAAUUGUAAUGGAUACUGGCAGGCUGGAGUAUGGUAGAGGAAGGUGGAAUUCCCGGUGUAGCAGUGAAAUGCGUAGAGAUCGGGAGGAACACCAGUGGCGAAGGCGGCCUUCUGGACCAAUACUGACGCUCAUGCACGAAAGCGUGGGGAGCAAACAGG
rnacentral:rRNA from 1 species